AUAAUCAAAGGAUGUAUGUAUGAUCAAUGUAUCAGGACAAAUAAAGCCUUGUAUAAGAAUAAUCACUGGUGUGAUGGCUGCCAGAGGCGCUGAGGAUCGGGUUUCACAAACAACGUGUGGCCACGCUAAGAGGUUUGGUCGCCUAGAAGGGUCUGCUUUCGGCAGGAAGUCCCCCAAUCCACCUUGAAUAGAGGGAAGGCCACAAGGGACAGGGAUUACAGGGCACCGUGGAUACCAACCCAGCAUAGUAUGGAGGGCUGCUGAGGGUUUGGAUGCAGUUUGGUCGUGGUGGAUGGUUCUGUGUCAAACCAGGGGAGUGACGACUACCUACAAACUAGGAAGAGACAGGGUCAACAAACUAUAUGCGAGUGUAUGAGUGCAUGAAAUAAAGGAUUAAGAAGUUGGUCUGCCGAUGAAUGCAGAGUGAGUGUGGACAGUUGUUGUUGGAUAGUGAAUGUGUUUACCCAGCCCCCAGGGCAGGGUAGGGGAUGAGGAAAUCGGCCAAGAAAUCAGUUUAGAGGGCCGAGGGGCCCAGCAGAUGUGUGCUGGGGAUGUAACCAGGCAGGGCACAACAGGGGAAGCUGUCCCACAAAUCUGUGGCCCGAUAGAACUGGGCCAAACCAAGGCCCAAAUAAUUGGAAUAGAGCAUGGCAGCAGGCACAGUCUCAACCCCCUCAGAGUCCUGUGAACUCUUGGGCGGGACCAAAUCAGAGAUAUUGAGGGUGCCCAGAGAAUCCUGAAGGGGAGGGUCAGUUUUCAGCAAUAACGGUACAAACUGAUAAGGAACCAAUGCUGCACGUUCAAAUAAAGAAUAGAGGCACACAAAUGAUGUUACAUACUGGAGCCAGUUACACUUGUGUAAAUCCAAAUUAUGCCUCACACCUACCUAUGUCAGGAAAAUAUGGUAACACAGUAGGAUUCUCGGGACAAUCGCAGCUGAUACCCAUGACUGCUCCAGUACACCUAGCCACAAGCAGACUCUCAGCCAAACUUCCCAUUUUGGUUUCAGCACAUAAUCCAAAUAAUUUAUUUGGAAGAGACACAUUGUUUAAAUAGGGACUACAGAUUCAAUGCUUACCGGAUGGAAUAAUAAUAGAAGAAACAGAAUAAUCUAUCAAAAGGCAGAUGAUGAUGCAACAGGCAUCUUUAGCAAAUAUCUACUGGAUAGGAGACAUAGAGGAAGGAGUCAGAAAGGUUACUUCCAAAUGGGGGAAGU
ensembl:lncRNA